GCAAUAUGACAUUGAUUCUGAAAAGGAAAUAGAUCCUGAAGCACAUUUCAACAUGCUAGUAGGAUACAAGUAUAACUGGACUGAAUGCAGUGGACUUAAUAUGCAGUAGAAACUAAAGAAAAGAGACUCGGUAAUUGGUAUGAUGAAAGUAGUGUCAGGAUCCCAAACCUUUGAAGAAGUACUUUUGCCACUUUCCACAAUGGUUUUGUCAACACACUCAGCUGGUUCAGUCUUUGAACAUAUAUUAACAGACUUCUUAGAUGGCUCCUCAGAAUUCUCUGCAUCACCAUUGCGAUUCUCGUUUACAUUUCUCUCCAGUUCCUCAACAAUCGAUGAGUUUUCACAACCUUCCUCGGGUUGAUGCAGUUCCUCAAAAUUAACAUCUUCAACUGCACCAUCCA
rnacentral:lncRNA from 1 species